AGAAUCAACGCUGGCGGCGUGCCUAACACAUGCAAGUCGAACGAGAAAGUGGAGCAAUCCAUGAGUAAAGUGGCGACCGGGUGAGUAACACGUGACUAACCUACCUUCGAGUGGGGGAUAACCUCGGGAAACCGAGGCUAAUACCGCAUAACAUCGCAAGAUCAAAGCAGCAAUGCGCUGGAAGAGGGGGUCGCGGCUGAUUAGCUAGUUGGCGGGUAACGCCCACCAAGGCGAAGAUCGGUAGCCGGCCUGAGAGGGCGCACGGCCACACUGGAACUGAAACACGGUCCAGACUCCUACGGGAGGCAGCAGUGGGGAAUUUUGCGCAAUGGGGGAAACCCUGACGCAGCAACGCCGCGUGGAGGAUGAAGCCCCUUGGGGCGUAAACUCCUUUCGACCAAGACGAUAAUGACGGUACUGGUGGAGAAGCACCGGCUAACUCUGCGCCAGCAGCCGC
rnacentral:rRNA from 1 species